GCUGCUGUGGCCGAGAGGUCUAAGGCGUCUGACUUGAAUCCUUGUUCGAGAUCAUAUGUGCAUCGCACGCGUAGGUUCAAAUCCUGCCGGCAGCG
rfam:Dacryopinax sp. DJM-731 SS1 chromosome Tnknown DACRYscaffold_1, whole genome shotgun sequence.